GGCCUCAUACAUGCAAGUCGAGCGGUCCUUCGGGACAGCGGCGAACGGGUUAGUAACGCGUGGGAACGUGCCCUUUAGUACGGAAUAGCCAUUGGAAACGAUGAUUAAUACCGUAUACGCCCCAAGGGGGAAAGAUUUAUCGCUAAAGGAUCGGCCCGCGUUAGAUUAGGUAGUUGGUAGGGUAAUGGCCUACCAAGCCGACGAUCUAUAGCUGGUUUGAGAGGAUGAUCAGCAACACUGGGACUGAGACACGGCCCAGACUUCUACGGAAGGCAGCAGUAGGGAAUCUUGGACAAUGGGCGAGAGCCUGAUCCAGCCAUGCCGCGUGUGUGAUGAAGGCCUUAGGGUUGUAAAGCACUUUCACUGGUGAAGAUGAUGACGGUAACCAGAGAAGAAGCCCCGGCUAACUUCGUGCCAGCAGCCGCGGUAAUACGAAGGGGGCGAGCGUUGUUCGGAAUUACUGGGCGUAAAGGGCGCGUAGGCGGUCUUUUAAGUUAGGCGUGAAAGCCCCGGGCUCAACCUGGGAACUGCGCUUAAAACUGGAAGACUAGAAAACGGAAGAGGGUAGUGGAAUUCCCAG
rnacentral:rRNA from 1 species